rnacentral:lncRNA from 1 species
UAACAUGACAAGCAACCAAAAAGCCAUUAAAUUAUAUGCCCUUAAGGGCUCAAGCCCAUCAUUAAAUGUUGUCGUACUGAUACACUGCGAGCUCUUGUUAACCACGCCGACUUGAUAAAACCCAAAAAUUAAAAGUAAUAAAUAUCGGAAACAGACUUGUACAGUAAAAACACAAGCCUGCUGACUUGUUGGAUGGUAGAUCAAUGAAUAAACCCAAGC